AUUUAAUGGCAGAAUUGGAACUUCUGAACCACCACUGACGAAUCACAUUGAAACUAAAGAGAUGUAAUACGUCAUUUGGUGUUUCCGAAGUUUAUACUGUCAAGUUUAGCUUACUUUAAC
rnacentral:pre_miRNA from 13 species